GUGGGGAAUAUUGGACAAUGGGGGGAACCCUGAUCCAGCCAUGCCGCGUGUGUGAAGAAGGCCUUUUGGUUGUAAAGCACUUUAAGCGAGGAGGAGGCUACCGAGAUUAAUACUCUUGGAUAGUGGACGUUACUCGCAGAAUAAGCACCGGCUAACUCUGUGCCAGCAGCCGCGGUAAUACAGAGGGUGCAAGCGUUAAUCGGAUUUACUGGGCGUAAAGCGCGUGUAGGUGGCCAAUUAAGUCAAAUGUGAAAUCCCCGAGCUUAACUUGGGAAUUGCAUUCGAUACUGGUUGGCUAGAGUAUGGGAGAGGAUGGUAGAAUUCCAGGUGUAGCGGUGAAAUGCGUAGAGAUCUGGAGGAAUACCGAUGGCGAAGGCAGCCAUCUGGCCUAAUACUGACACUGAGGUGCGAAAGCAUGGGGAGCAAACAGGAUUAGAUACCCGUGUAGUCC
rnacentral:rRNA from 1 species